ACUCCUGCGGGAGGCAGUAGUGGGGAAUUUUGGACAAUGGGCGAAAGCCUGAUCCAGCAACGCCGCGUGAGUGAAGAAGGCCUUCGGGUUGUAAAGCUCUUUUGUCAGGGAAGAAACGGUGAGAGCUAAUAUCUUUUGCUAAUGACGGUACCUGAAGAAUAAGCACCGGCUAACUACGUGCCAGCAGCCGCGGUAAUACGUAGGGUGCAAGCGUUAAUCGGAAUUACUGGGCGUAAAGCGUGCGCAGGCGGUUUUGUAAGUCUGAUGUGAAAUCCCCGGGCUCAACCUGGGAAUUGCAUUGGAGACUGCAAGGCUAGAAUCUGGCAGAGGGGGGUAGAAUUCCACGUGUAGCAGUGAAAUGCGUAGAUAUGUGGAGGAACACCGAUGGCGAAGGCAGCCCCCUGGGUCAAGAUUGACGCUCAUGCACGAAAGCGUGGGGAGCAAACAGGAUUAGAUACCCGAGUAGUCCC
rnacentral:rRNA from 1 species